AGCAGCCGCGGUAAUUCCAGCUCCAAUAGCGUAUAUUAAAGUUGUUGCAGUUAAAAAGCUCGUAGUUGAAUUUCGGAGUUUGUCGGUUGGUCGGGCUUUAUUGUCCGCACUGGCCUGAUAGAUUCCUACCUUCUGAAUAACCAGCAUGCUAUUAAUUUAGUGCGUUGGGGAAGCAGAGCUAUUACCUUGAAAAAUUAGAGUGCUUAAAGCAGGCUUAUGCUUGAAUAGAUUAGCAUGGAAUAAUAAAAUAGGACGGCUUGGUUCUAUUUUGUUGGUUUCUAGGAUCACCGUAAUGAUUAAUAGGGAUAGUUGGGGGCAUUAGUAUUCAAUUGUCAGAGGUGAAAUUCUUGGAUUUAUUGAGGACUAACUUCUGCGAAAGCAUUUGCCAAGGAUGUUUUCAUUAAUCAAGAACGAAAGUUAGGGGAUCGAAGACGAUCAGAUACCGUCGUAGUCUUAACCAUAAACUAUGCCGACUAGGGAUCGGACGAUGUUAAUUUUUAAUGACUCGUUCGGCGCCUUA
rnacentral:rRNA from 1 species